rnacentral:lncRNA from 1 species
GCUGGAAUCACUCUUUCUGUCCCUAGGGGUGAGCGUUUGGUCGGUUCAAUUCAAAAUCGAACCGAACUGAAUAAAUUAAAAAUUGAAAUUUUAAUAUUUAUAAAAAUCAAACCGAACUGAUUUUAGUCAAAAAUCGAAUCAAACCAAACCAAUAUGAUUCAAAUAUGAAUUAUAUGUUAGAAAUAUAAGUCUGAAACAUAGUCUAAAUAUACAUUGAUUUUUUUAUUAAAAAAUUACUAUAUUACUAUAUAAAUAUAUAAAAUAAAUUAAAAGUUAGGGAUUUGGUAUGCAGGGAAAAAAUGGCCAGGUUCGGCGUGGGGCGAGGCAGGGUUGCUCAAGUUGUCAUCCCUAGACUGACAAAUUUGGUUUUGGUUCUGUUAAUUUUUGGUACUCAGCCUUGACUACUACAUCGACUUCCAAAUCGUUGUCGCCAAGUUUUUUACAUCCUUAACCACGAUAAUUAGCCAUCCACAGUAUGGUUGCCAACCAACGGUAAAUUCCAGCAAACAAUGUUAUCCGUAACAUUGCUUACUUCCAUCCUCAGCUCCAACAUCAUUGGCUUUCUUCUUCAAUUUCAUUCUCUGAUUUCUUUGCCACUCAGAUUCUCGAGAGAAAUUGAUUGCUAUAAAUUUCAACAUCCUCAACCUCCAAGCAGAGCAUGAUUAGGUAGAAGAAUGGAGGAGAGGGAGAAAGCAAAGCAAUCUGUGAAAUCAGAGGACUUCGGUUUGGCAUCAUUAGAUAGAAAAGAGAGCACAUGAGUGAUAGGUUUUUGAUUUGAGAGACUUUUCACACAACGGUAACUAUUUGGUUGUGAUUUUUGAGUAAAAUCCUAAAAUUAGGGACUUCGACAAAAGGGCUAAUUGCAAAAAGAGUCGAUUCCUAAGGGCCAUGUAAUUUGGUUUAGAAAAGUAAAGAAUAGGAUAUAUAUUAUUUGAUUCCAAAAAUGUAGAAAUAGAAUUAUCUAUAAAUUUGAAGCGGAGGGAAACUUACUAUCUGAGUCCUUCCUUUUUCCAGAUUGUCUAUCUCUCAACUGUUUGAAUGACGAACUGCUAGGGACAGGACGAGACUUGCUAGAACCAGAAAGGUCACUUGUAGCAGGAGCAGGGGAUGCCCCUAACUUUCCCACCUGCCCAUUUGGUAUGUCA